rnacentral:rRNA from 1 species
GAACGCUACCGGGAGGCCUAACACAUGCAAGCCGAGCGGUAUUUCUUCUUCGGAAGAGAGAGAGCGGCGUACGGGUGCGUAACACGUGUGCAACCUACCUUUAUCUGGGGGAUAGCCUUUCGAAAGGAAGAUUAAUACCCCAUAAUAUAAUGAUUGGCAUCAAUUAUUAUUGAAAACUCCGGUGGAUAGAGAUGGGCACGCGCAAGAUUAGAUAGUUGGUGAGGUAACGGCUCACCAAGUCUGUGAUCUUUAGGGGUCCUGAGAGGGAGAUCCCCCACACUGGUACUGAGACACGGACCAGACUCCUACGGGAGGCAGCAGUGAGGAAUAUUGGACAAUGGGUGAAAGCCUGAUCCAGCCAUCCCGCGUGAAGGAUGACGGUCCUAUGGAUUGUAAACUUCUUUUGUACAGGGAUAAACCUACUCUCGUGAGGGUAGCUGAAGGUACUGUACGAAUAAGCACCGGCUAACUCCGUGCCAGCAGCCGCGGUAAUACGGAGGGUGCAAGCGUUAUCCGGAUUUAUUGGGGUUUAAAGGGUCCGUAGGCGGACCCCGUAAGUCANUGGUGAAAUCUCAUUACCUCAACUAUGAAAACUGCCAUUGAUACUGCGGGUCUUGGAGUUAAUUUUGAAAGUGGGCUGGGAAUUAAGUA